rnacentral:rRNA from 1 species
GUGGGGAAUCUUGCGCAAUGGGCGAAAGCCUGACGCAGCCAUGCCGCGUGCAUGAUGACGGUCUUAGGAUUGUAAAAUUCUUUCACCGGGGACGAUAAUGACGGUACCCGGAGAAGAAGCUCCGGCUAACUUCGUGCCAGCAGCCGCGGUAAUACGAAGGGGGCUAGCGUUGCUCGGAAUUACUGGGCGUAAAGGGCGCGUAGGCGGACAGCUUAGUCAGAGGUGAAAGCCCAGGGCUCAACCUUGGAAUUGCCUUUGAUACUGGCUGUCUUGAGUUUGGGAGAGGUGAGUGGAACUCCGAGUGUAGAGGUGAAAUUCGUAGAUAUUCGGAAGAACACCAGUGGCGAAGGCGACUCACUGGCCCAAUACUGACGCUGAGGCGCGAAAGCGUGGGGAGCAAACAGGAUUAGAAACCCUAGUAGUCC